rnacentral:rRNA from 1 species
UUGAACGCUGGCGGCAGGCCUAACACAUGCAAGUCGAACGGUAACAGGAAGCAGCUUGCUGCUUCGCUGACGAGUGGCGGACGGGUGAGUAAUGUCUGGGAAACUGCCUGAUGGAGGGGGAUAACUACUGGAAACGGUAGCUAAUACCGCAUAACGUCGCAAGACCAAAGAGGGGGACCUUCGGGCCUCUUGCCAUCGGAUGUGCCCAGAUGGGAUUAGCUAGUAGGUGGGGUAACGGCUCACCUAGGCGACGAUCCCUAGCUGGUCUGAGAGGAUGACCAGCCACACUGGAACUGAGACACGGUCCAGACUCCUACGGGAGGCAGCAGUGGGGAAUAUUGCACAAUGGGCGCAAGCCUGAUGCAGCCAUGCCGCGUGUAUGAAGAAGGCCUUCGGGUUGUAAAGUACUUUCAGCGGGGAGGAAGGGAGUAAAGUUAAUACCUUUGCUCAUUGACGUUACCCGCAGAAGAAGCACCGGCUAACUCCGUGCCAGCAGCCGCGGUAAUACGGAGGGUGCAAGCGUUAAUCGGAAUUACUGGGCGUAAAGCGCACGCAGGCGGUUUGUUAAGUCAGAUGUGAAAUCCCCGGGCUCAACCUGGGAACUGCAUCUGAUACUGGCAAGCUUGAGUCUCGUAGAGGGGGGUAGAAUUCCAGGUGUAGCGGUGAAAUGCGUAGAGAUCUGGAGGAAUACCGGUGGCGAAGGCGGCCCCCUGGACGAAGACUGACGCUCAGGUGCGAAAGCGUGGGGAGCAAACAGGAUUAGAUACCCUGGUAGUCCACGCCGUAAACGAUGUCGACUUGGAGGUUGUGCCCUUGAGGCGUGGCUUCCGGAGCUAACGCGUUAAGUCGACCGCCUGGGGAGUACGGCCGCAAGGUUAAAACUCAAAUGAAUUGACGGGGGCCCGCACAAGCGGUGGAGCAUGUGGUUUAAUUCGAUGCAACGCGAAGAACCUUACCUGGUCUUGACAUCCACAGAACUUUCCAGAGAUGGAUUGGUGCCUUCGGGAACUGUGAGACAGGUGCUGCAUGGCUGUCGUCAGCUCGUGUUGUGAAAUGUUGGGUUAAGUCCCGCAACGAGCGCAACCCUUAUCCUUUGUUGCCAGCGGUCCGGCCGGGAACUCAAAGGAGACUGCCAGUGAUAAACUGGAGGAAGGUGGGGAUGACGUCAAAUCAUCAUGCCCUUUAUGUCCUGGGCUACACACGUACUACAAUGGCUGUAACAGAGGGAAGCAACAUAGAGAUGUGAAGCAAAUCCCAAAAAGCAGUCUCAGUUCGGAUUGAAGGCUGAAAUUCGCCUUCAUGAAGCCUGAAUUGCUAGUAAUGGCAGGUCAGCAUACUGCCGUGAAUACGUUCCCGGGCCUUGUACACACCGCCCGUCACACCAUGGGAGUGGGUUGCAAAAGAAGUAGGUAGCUUAACCUUCGGGAGGGCGCUUACCACUUUGUGAUUCAUGACUGGGGUG